rnacentral:rRNA from 1 species
UACGUAGGGCGCAAGCGUUGUCCGGAAUUAUUGGGCGUAAAGAGCUCGUAGGCGGCUUGUCACGUCGGGUGUGAAAGCCCGGGGCUUAACCCCGGGUCUGCAUUCGAUACGGGCUAGCUAGAGUGUGGUAGGGGAGAUCGGAAUUCCUGGUGUAGCGGUGAAAUGCGCAGAUAUCUGGAGGAAUACCGGUGGCGAAGGCGGCAUCCUGGACCAUUACUGACGCUGAGGCGCGAAAGCUAGGGGAGCAAACGGG